AAUUAUUUCCGACGACUUGUUUCGUCAGUAUGUCGUCGGAAUAACGAUAUUCCGACGAAAUUCCGACGAUUUUUUCCCUCAGAAUCCUUGCUGUUUUCUUGUAGUGAGAAUCUUUAGCAAAAUAAUAUUAAGAUAUUUGGUAGAGCUCACAUUUUGUUAAGGAUUGGGUACUAAAAAUCCUUAAUUAAAGACUGAUUGUUAGUGAAUCCUUACACUAUUCACAGGUCCCACGACACGUGGCGAUCCGCGAUUGGUUCCGUUUUAAUUUUUUUAAAAAAAAAAUACGGACAAAAAAAAUAAUAAAAAAUUCUAAAAAGUUUACCUACGAUUCCGAGCCACCGAGAACAUCAUUGAAAGUGCUCUAACUAGUAUAAAGGUGUUCACACUGGCGAAGCGAAGUUUAAUUUAUAUUUAAUUUAUUUUUAUCGUUUUACUAGUAUUAUUAUGAAAUGAUAUAUUCUCUUCUCCGUGUUUUUUUUUUGUUUAUAGAUGGUCCAUACGGUCUCACCAGGUCACCAAGUAGCGAUCACAAAAGAAUCUUUGUAAACUAAUUGGCUGAAGGGGACCACCAAGCAACUAGUUGAUGUAGGAGCGGCUGAGAAAGCUACGCAUUUGGCUGGGUAAAAAGCGCCACUUAUUGGGUAAGUUCAUAAAUUAGUUAAAACUUUGAAAAAUUAUUUUUCUUAAAUUUUAGGGAAAUUAUUUGUUAAAAAGCGUUAUUUGCAAAUUAAAUGAUUUUUACAAAAAUAAAAACUAAAAACUAAAACUUGAUUGAAGAAAAAAAAUGGUUUUUGAAAAAAAAUAAAAACCAAAAACUAAAACAAAAACCAAUCACCGUAGUCUCCCUCUUCUGAUCCAUAGAAAGGCCAAGGAAGUGGGUUGAACUUUCUGACGGAAGCAGCUGCUUCACACCAUGCCUUGCAGACAGCGGAAGCUUUUAUGUUGUCUUUUAGUCCGAGGCGGGAUAGUAUCUCCUCCAAGAGCUCUGAGGGAAUAUUUAGAUCCCACAAUCCUUUAGUGCACUGGUUCUUUGAUCCAUGAUUUUCUCUAGCCUUAGCACUGCAUCGACAACUAGUAGAAGAAGAAGCAUUAUGCACGGUGAAUCAUCAAGAGAUAUUACAACGAUGGGAAGACGUAGGUUCGAAUAUUGGAUAUAUAUAGUGAAAGCGGUUAUAGAACAUUUAGAACACAAAAGCUAAACCCUAAUACAGAGAUCAUGCCCUGGAAGUUCGAUUAAAAAAAACUCACCAUGGCGCUUGAACAAUAGGUUUCAUUGUGAAAGCUUCUGGGAGCAGUGACGCCGGAGUUGCUGCCAUGUAUCUUCCACAGCCAGUCCAGAUUAUCUCCAACUGUAACUUCUACCCCACUAGACUUAGGUCAACAAGUAGUUAUUAGGGUUUUUCCUUAUUUUAUUUUUUACAGCAAAAGGAUAAAUGUUAUUUAUUUUAUUUUUUUGUUUAUAUAUUCUGGAAUCAGUUCAAAAUAUUUUUUUACAAUAUAUUUAUUGUAUGUUUUCUUAUUUGUUAAUUGUUGCUACAGUUUGUUUUGGUCACCUUAGGGUUUUCUCACGCCUUAUGUGCGUAUAUAUUAUCUCUUGUAUCUUAUGAAAAGUCUGCCCUUCUAUUCGUAAAUGGUUUACAAUGACACUUAUCGUAAUCGUCACUGCCGGUCUUCUUCUUCCCCUUAGCCUCCUCCUUUUCCUCUUCCUUCACCGACGUAAUCCCCUAUAUAUACGAACCCUCAGGUGGAUUAUCUUCCUCCUAAAUUUUCUGAUUAAUCCUUAUUCCAUACAAUCAACCCUAAUCUACUUAUUACAUAACGUCCCAUAUACAUGCUUUGGGUUUAAUAUCAUUUCUGACCUUGCACGUGACCUUCUUCUUCUUCAUGUUUCCUACGUAUUUGUCAUGGGCUCAUCUUCAUCUCUUCACCAUAUUUGUCUCUUUCUUUUCCCAGGAUUAAGCAUAGGAGAAAUAUUCGACAGUAGUCUCCCUAAUCACCAAGAUGAACCCUCAGGAUUAAGCAUAGGAUCAAUAUUCAACAGUACGUAGUCUCCCUAAUCCCCAAGAUGAACCCUCAGGUGGAUUAUCUUCCUCCUACACUUUCUGAUUAAUUUUCACUCUAUUAUCCUUUUCCAUACGAUAUGCUUACAUAUUUAUAUAUACUACCAACCCUAAUGUACUAUUACAUACCACACAACCCAUAUGAUCAGAGGUUAAUAAUUUCUGACCCAGUGACUUGUUGUCUUACACACAAACCUUUGAAUUUCCUUCUCCUUUUUUUAUUUCUUGUUCAUGUAAUUCCUGUGUAUUUUUGAUGCAUGCUCUCAUCAUCUUCUCUUCACCAUAUUUGUUCUUUCUCAGAAUUAAGCAUUAUAAGAUCAAUUUCCAACGUUAGUUUCCUUGAUCCCCAAGAUGAUCCCCAAGAUGAACCCUCUGGUGGAUUAUCUUCCACACUCGUGCAGAAGCUUCCCCAAUUCAAAACUUCCAAACCAGCCAGACCAGACGGAAGCGAAUGCGUUGUUUGCCUUGAUGGAUUCAGAAAGGGACGAUGGUGUCGGAGACUUCCCGGUUGCGGACACGUGUUCCAUAGGAAGUGUGUGGACACUUGGUUCCUCAGAGCUGAUACAUGCCCAACAUGUCGAGCUAGGGUUAGAUUGACGGAGGAAGAUGCACAACAAGGAUGAUUGUGGAAGAGAUGAUUGGGUCUUGGAUAGUGUUGGUUUUAGAAGAAGUAGUUUGCUAGACUUGUAAAGCUGUUUUUAAUGCAUUAUUCUUUAUUCAUCAUCUUCUUCACUCAACAUGACAUCAUUUAGAACUACAGAAGAAGAUUUUAAAACCA